UUUGUGUUAUAUCGGUUAAGUUUUUGUUACUUUGUUUAUGUUCUGUCUUAAGUUUUUCUUUGUCUAUGUUCUUGUCAAUGUGUUCUUGUUUGUUUAUGUUCAGUCUCUAGCUUCUUUCGAUUAUGUUUUGUUCUGCGGUUAAGUUUUAUGUUAAGUGUAAUGCAUUUAUGUUAUUGCUUUUGGAUCCAAAUUCAUAAUAUAAAACUGCUUUUGUUUCUGGGAAUGUUUUUUUUUUUUGGCACAGUUAUAUAUCUGAGCUAAUGCCUUUGUUUUAUCUUUGUUUUCAGUUUCUACCAUUUUGCUAUGCUUAUUAAGUUAUUAUGAUCUGUUGAACAUUUUCAAGGAAAGCACUGGAAGAAAAUAGGCACGGCUUUUGGAGAGGACCCCAUCUCUCGGGUGAUCUAAAUGAGCUCGUGUAUGGACAGUUCUGAAUAUUGUUCUAAAUAAAAUACCUUUAUGAGCU